ensembl:snoRNA
AGCCUGGUUCCAAAUGUAGCCCCAGAUGAGCCUGCAGUAUUUUCCUAUAUGAUCAGGUCCUAUUACUGGCAACACCAGACUGGCCUAAGAGGAUUAUGAAAAUGUGUAUGGAAAGCAGCACCUGGAGGCCAGGU